GGCUCGGUGGUGGAUGGUCCACAUCUGCCUUCCCUACUGCGAUAUGUGGAAUUGGGAGUAGAAGGCGCCUGUUCGACUCAGGCCCGAGCCU